rnacentral:rRNA from 1 species
AUUGAACGCUGGCGGCAGGCCUAACACAUGCAAGUCGAACGAGCGGCGGACGGGUGAGUAAUGUCUGGGAAACUGCCUGAUGGAGGGGGAUAACUACUGGAAACGGUAGCUAAUACCGCAUACCAUCAGAUGUGCGCAGGUGGGAUUAGCGAGUAGGUGGGGUAACGGCUCACCUCGGCGACGAUCCCUAGCUGGUCUGAGAGGAUGAACAGCCACACUGGAACUGAGACACGGUCCAGACUCCUACGGGAGGCAGCAGUGGGGAAUAUUGCACAAUGGGCGCAAGCCUGAUGCAGCCAUGCCGCGUGUGUGAAGAAGGCCUUCGGGUUGUAAAGCACUUUCAGCGGGGAGGCGUUACCCGCAGAAGAAGCACCGGCUAACUCCGUGCCAGCAGCCGCGGUAAUUC